rnacentral:rRNA from 1 species
AGACCCGAAACCCGGUGAUCUAGCCAUGGGCAGGUUGAAGGUUGGGUAACACUAACUGGAGGACCGAACCGACUAAUGUUGAAAAAUUAGCGGAUGACCUGUGGCUGGGGGUGAAAGGCCAAUCAAACCGGGAGAUAGCUGGUUCUCCCCGAAAGCUAUUUAGGUAGCGCCUCGUGAAUUCAUCUCCGGGGGUAGAGCACUGUUUCGGCUAGGGGGCCAUCCCGGCUUACCAACCCGAUGCAAACUGCGAAUACCGGAGAAUGUUAUCACGGGAGACACACGGCGGGUGCUAACGUCCGUCGUGAAGAGGGAAACAACCCAGACCGCCAGCUAAGGUCCCAAAGUCAUGGUUAAGUGGGAAACGAUGUGGGAAGGCCCAGACAGCCAGGAUGUUGGCUUAGAAGCAGCCAUCAUUUAAAGAAAGCGUAAUAGCUCACUGGUCGAGUCGGCCUGCGCGGAAGAUGUAACGGGGCUAAACCAUGCACCGAAGCUGCGGCAGCGACACUCAGGUGUUGUUGGGUAGGGGAGCGUUCUGUAAGCCUGCGAAGGUGGCCUGUGAGGGUUGCUGGAGGUAUCAGAAGUGCGAAUGCUGACAUAAGUAACGAUAAAGCGGGUGAAAAGCCCGCUCGCCGGAAGACCAAGGGUUCCUGUCCAACGUUAAUCGGGGCAGGGUGAGUCGACCCCUAAGGCGAGGCCGAAAGGCGUAGUCGAUGGGAAACGGGUUAAUAUUCCCGUACUUGGUGUUACUGCGAAGGGGGGACGGAGAAGGCUAUGUUGGCCGGGCGACGGUUGUCCCGGUUUAAGCGUGUAGGUGUGUGUUCCAGGUAAAUCCGGUUCACUUUAACACUGAGGCGUGACGACGAGGCACUACGGUGCUGA